GACAAGGAGUGGUGCUCCAUCACCAAGUCACCUUGCCAGGUCAAGGACAUGAAGAUCAAAUCCCUGAAGGUCUAUCUCUUCUCUCUGUCCAUCAAGGAGUUUGAGGUCACUGACUUCCUCCUGGGGGUGCCCCUCAAGGACAAGGUUCUGAAGCUCAUGUUUGUGCAAAAGCAGCCCAAGGCUGGCCGGCGGAUCAGGUUCAAAGUGAUUGUCACCAUAAGGGACUGCAAUGAUAACGUCAGUCUGGGUGUUGAGUGGCCCAAGGAGUUACUCAUUGCUGUCUGCAGGACCAACAUCCUCUCCAUCAUCCUGGUGUAGGGUGACUACCAGGGGACAAGGUCAGCAAACCCCACACAGUGCUCUGCAUGGUGACACAAUGCUGC
rnacentral:lncRNA from 1 species